UACCAUGGCAGUCACGGGUAACGGGGAAUUAGGGUUCGAUUCCGGAGAGGGAGCCUGAGAAAUGGCUACCACUUCUAAGGAAGGCAGCAGGCGCGUAAAUUACCCAAUCCUGAUUCAGGGAGGUAGUGACAAGAAAUAACAACUCGGGUCCCUCUGGGACUGCGAGAUUGCAAUGAGAACAAUUUAAACCACUUAUCCAGGAACAAUUGGAGGGCAAGUCUGGUGCCAGCAGCCGCGGUAAUUCCAGCUCCAAUAGCGUAUAUUAAAGUUGUUGCAGUUAAAAAGCUCGUAGUUGAAUUUCUGGCCA
rnacentral:rRNA from 1 species